UUACAGACAAAUGGCCUAAUUCUCAGUGCUUUGUCAUUUAUUUGUAUUUCACGCUUUUUUUUUUUUUUCUCUUUCUUCACAGAUCUAAAUUAAAGAAAGGAGAAAAACACCCUGCAGAAGCUCAGUGUCUCAUAAUAAAAGGCUGAACCAAGACCUCAUAACUCACAUUUCAAUCAGUCACAAAGGGAAAGAUUUAGAACAUUCAUUUAAAAAUAUUUGUCUUUUUUCUCUCUCGGUAAUUUCCUAGCAAUUUCUUACAGUCAUGAGGAAAUGCCUAAUAUAUAUAUAUUUGCUUCAGUGUACACAGAUUUUUGUACAAAAUUCUGAAGUCUGUCAAUGUUUACUGACUGUAUAGUACUGUCAUAACUGGCCCAGCUCAGCAUGUGUCCACCCUCUGAAAGGAUCUGGCAAACUUCUAGCUUUGCACUGUGCUCACCUUUCAACAUAAGGAGCUUACAGAAUCUACUCGCAAGUUAUCUCAGAGAGGCCAGAAAAGAAGAUUAAACAGCUUUCAAGCUUCAGGAAAGUGUCUGGUGUGGUGGGCUCAGGCUCAGGCCUGAUAUUUAUGGAUAAUAUUUGAACUGAAGUAUUCAAAACAGCUAUGUGGAAUACACAUGUUCAAUAUUACCGAUUAUGCAUCAUCUCUGGAGACGACUCAUGAAAAAUUUCAGCUGGGAUUCUGUAACGUCAACAAAACCAUACUUGAAAAAUUGUUUCAGGGUAAGCUCCCCAGUUUCUAGAAAGCUUUCCACUUAAAUAUGGGUAGAAAAAUAACUUUUUCAAAAGCAUUAUGGAUUGGGCAAAACAUUGAAAUGUCCAUUCCAGACUUCCAAUAUGUAUGGCACGACUAGGCAAUCCAGAUAUCAAAAUAAAAUAAUUAUGACUACCA
rnacentral:lncRNA from 1 species